rnacentral:rRNA from 1 species
UACGGAGGAUGCAAGCGUUAUCCGGAUUUAUUGGGUUUAAAGGGUGCGUAGGCGGAUUAAUAAGUCAGUGGUGAAAACCUUCAGCUUAACUGGAGAACUGCCAUUGAUACUGUUAGUCUUGAGUACGGUCAAGGUAGGCGGAAUGUGUAAUGUAGCGGUGAAAUGCUUAGAUAUUACACAGAACACCGAUUGCGAAGGCAGCUUACUGGGCCAUUACUGACGCUGAUGCACGAAAGCGUGGGGAGCGAACAGG